CUGCUGCCUGCGACGCGACGCAAUAAGCAGGCGUUGGCAAGUUGUGCCUGCUGCUGCAGUUCACCGACAAGCGCUUCCAGUCUGUCCACGACCUCAGUCCUCACCAUCGGCGUCGAGUUCGGGGCGCGGAUGACCACCAUCGAGCUCCAGAUUUGGGACACGGCUAUCAUCCCAUCGUCAUGACAGGCCAAACAAGGAUGAUGAUGAAUUGGAGAGUAUGAAGAAUGACAAGGACACUAAAGCUCACCUGGACAACGCUUGUCUUUGCACCUACAGCCUUGCUGGCAGCCAAGUCUAUGAUCUGGUACUGCUGGUACCUUCCUGAGCUCAUGAUAUGAGUUGUUUUCAACAAUACACAUAUCACAUAUUUGAUAGUUAAUAUUUCACAUUUCUGCUAGAGAUUGUUUUACUACUCCUAGGAUAUAUCCUACCAUUUCUGCUUGCCUGGUUAAUCAUGUACUUGACCGGUCGA